AUAAAUUUCUUAUGGUUUAUAAAAUUUUAUUAUAAACUUAUUUUACAUAUAAAUUUUAGUGGGAAAUUUUAAUUAUUUUAAUAAUAAUUAAAUAUUAGUGGUAGUAAUUAAUAUUAAAAAUUUAAGAAAUUAAGAUUUAGUAAUGUAAAAAUUAAUAACUAAUUUUGUGCCAGCAGUUGCGGUUAUACAAAAAUUAAAUUAAAUUUUUUUAGUAAUUAAUUAAUAAAUAUAAAAAUAAUUUAAAAUUUAAAUUAUUAAGUGAAAUUUUAAUUUAAUAAAAAAUUAUAAUUAAAUUUGUGAUUUAAUAAAUUUUAUAAAAAACUAGGAUUAGAUACCCUAUUAUUAAAAAAUUAAAUAAAUAAAACUAAAAUAGUAAAUAAUUUAUUGAAACUUAAAUAAAUUGGCGGUAUUUUAGUUCAUUCAGAGGAAUCUGUUUAUUAAUUGAUAAUCCACGAAUAAAUUUACUUAAUUUAUUAUUUUGUAUAUCGUUGUUAUAAAAAUAUUUUUUAAUAAAAAUAAUAUUUUAAAAUUUUAAAUAAAAAUAAAAUCAGAUCAAGAUGCAGAUUAUAAUUAAGAAUAUAAUGGAUUACAAUAAAUUUAUUUAUUAAUGGAUAUUAAAUUGAAAUAUUUAAUUGAAAGUGGAUUUGAAUGUAAUUUUAUUUAAAUUAUUAAAAUGAUUAAUAAUUAAAAUAUGUACAUAUUGCCCGUCGCUUUCAUAUAUAAAUUGGAAUAAGUCGUAACAAAGUAGGGGUACUGGAAAGUGUUUCUAGAAAGAACAAAUUAGAG
rnacentral:ncRNA from 1 species